rnacentral:rRNA from 1 species
UGUUCUUCGUGACAUGGCGUACUGCUCAGUAACACGUGGAUAACCUGCCCUUGGGACCGGCAUAGCCCCGGGAAACUGGGGAUAAUUCCGGAUAACGCAUAUAUGCUGGAAUGCUUUAUGCGUGAAAUGGAUUCGUCUGCCCAAGGAUGGGUCUGCGGCUUAUCAGGUAGUAGUGGGUGUAAUGUACCUACUAGCCGACGACGGGUACGGGUUGUGAGAGCAAGAGCCCGGAGAUGGAUUCUGAGACAUGAAUCCAGGCCCUACGGGGCGCAGCAGGCGCGAAAACUUUACAAUGCGGGAAACCGUGAUAAGGGGACACCGAGUGCCAGCAACAUUUGUUGGCUGUCCGGGUGUGUAAAAUACACCUGUUAGCAAGGGCCGGGCAAGACCGGUGCCAGCCGCCGCGGUAACACCGGCGGCCCGAGUGGUGAUCGUUAUUAUUGGGUCUAAAGGGUCCGUAGCCGGUUUGGUCAGUCCUCCGGGAAAUCUGAUAGCUCAACUAUUAGGCUUUCGGGGGAUACUGCCAGGCUUGGAACCGGGAGAGGUAAGAGGUACUACAGGGGUAGGAGUGAAAUCUUGUAAUCCCUGUGGGACCACCUGUGGCGAAAGCGUCUUACCCGAACGGGUUCGUCGGCGAGGGACGAAAGCUGGGGGCACGAACCGGAUUAGAUACCCGGGUAGUCCCAGCCGUAAACGAUGCUCGCUAGGUGUCAGGCAUGGUGCGACCGUGUCUGGUGCCGCAGGGAAGCCGUGAAGCGAGCCACCUGGGAAGUACGGCCGCAAGGCUGAAACUUAA